rnacentral:misc_RNA from 1 species
GUUUAUUUGAGGUUCACGCUGCGUCAACAAAAGAAAGAACUAGACUAGGAGAGUGUAUAAAGCCCUAAAUCAGUUGCAGAAAUAGUAAUAAUAUCACACAAACAGCACCACAGAAUGUGCAGCUAGGAAUUCUGUGAAUAUGCUCAUGCAAGGCAUUAUUAUCAGAGUCACCUAUGCUAAGUCUACUCAAAUGCCAAGGGCAUCCCACUGCACAAGACUCCCUAUUUUGGUCAAAGGGUUGUCUGUUGAAAACAGCCUUUGCCCUGCCCCAUUUUUUUUU